UACGAAGGAUGCAAGCGUUAUCCGGAUUCAUUGGGUUUAAAGGGAGCGUAGGUGGCCUUAUAAGUCAGUGGUGAAAUCUCGCAGCUCAACUCCGGAACUGCCAUUGAUACUGCUUAACUUGAAUCAACUUGAGGUGGAUGGAAUAUUACAUGUAGCGGUGAAAUGCUUAGAUAUGUAAUAGAACACCGAUUGCGAAGGCAGUUCACUAAGGUUGUAUUGACACUGAGGCACGAAAGCGUGGGGAUCAAACAGG
rnacentral:rRNA from 1 species